UACAGAGGUCCCAAGCGUUGUUCGGAUUCACUGGGCGUAAAGGGUGCGUAGGCGGUCGGGUAAGUCUGUCGUGAAAUCUCCGAGCCCAACUCGGAAACUGCGUCGGAUACUAUUCGGCUAGAGGAAUGGAGGGGAGACUGGAAUUCUCGGUGUAGCAGUGAAAUGCGUAGAUAUCGAGAGGAACACCAGUGGCGAAGGCGAGUCUCUGGACAAUUCCUGACGCUGAGGCACGAAAGCUAGGGGAGCAAACAGG
rnacentral:rRNA from 1 species